CAGGACUUGACAUCCCUGUGACCGGGCCGUAACGGGACCUUUCCCUUCGGGGACACAGGAGACAGGUGGUGCAUGGUUGUCGUCAGCUCGUGUCGUGAGAUGUUGGGUUAAGUCCCGCAACGAGCGCAACCCUUGUCUUUAGUUGCCAGCAAGUAAAGUUGGGCACUCUAGAGAGACUGCCGGGGAUAACUCGGAGGAAGGUGGGGAUGACGUCAAAUCAUCAUGCCCCUUAUGUUCUGGGCUACACACGUGCUACAAUGGCUGGUACAACGGGAAGCGAAAGAGUAAUCUGGAGCAAAUCCUAAAAGCCAGUCUCAGUUCGGAUUGUGGGCUGCAACUCGCCCACAUGAAGUCGGAGUUGCUAGUAAUCGCGGAUCAGAAUGUCGCGGUGAAUGCGUUCCC
rnacentral:rRNA from 1 species